rnacentral:rRNA from 1 species
CGGCGAACGGGUGAGUAACGCGUGGAUUAUCUGCCCUGAGGUGGGGGAUAACCCGGGGAAACUCGGGCUAAUACCGCAUGACACCGUGAGGUCAAAGGGGGCCGCAAGGCUCUCGCCAUGGGAGGAGUCCGCGUUCGAUUAGCUAGUUGGUAGGGUAAUGGCCUACCAAGGCGACGAUCGAUAGCCGGCCUGAGAGGGUGAUCGGCCACACUGGAACUGAGACACGGUCCAG